CCUGCACUAUCAAAGGAAGCAAAUGGUCGCCGGCAUAGAGGAGAGAUUAAGCUCCGCAUGGCGGACUUCAAGGAAGACGAAGACGCGCCAAUUCUGAGCUCCCGAAUUUUGGAGGCCUUGAAGGAGUUCUUGAGCGAGUACAACUCAUUGGGCAUCAGAGCCGGAAGCGAAGAAGAUGGAAAAGUGGAUGAAGUGAGGCUGGUGACAGAGGACUGGAGGCUAAGCCAGUUCUGAUACGACCAAGUGAAGGCGGAGACGAUCGUCAAUGAGAUUAUGGCUCUUUGCUCUUCAGCGUCCUCUCGUGUGGCCUGCGUCGCCUGUCCCGCUCUCUAUGCCUAUCUCAAGGAAUGAUUGAACAAGUUCUUCUCUGGGGUUUAUGUCAUGCUACAUUAUAGGUUUAAAACAUAGACAAUAGUUGAUAGCCACAUGGAAGUCAAUUCUCAGGUGAAAGUCCAAAAGAAACCUGGAGAACAAAGCUUAAUGGGGGACAAUGCAAUGAUAGUUACUGAUUUUAAGGUAGGGCAGAGAGACAAGGGAAUAAUUGGGGCUCACGCGAAGAGGAGUUUGUUAGUGGAAAACCACAUGUCGAGAUCUUCAUAGAAGAGUGCAACACCAAUUAAUAUCCGAGGUGAGGAGGAAUUAAUAGCAGGACACGUGGUUGACCAAGAUAGAAAAGAAGAAGCUCAAUCUAUGGUGCAGAUAGAAGCUGAAGGGAAACGUAGACUGAGGUGCCCGAAUACACGUUUCCAUGACUAUCUCUGGGGAUAAAGAGCUCAGUAUAGAGAUUGGGGAAAGAGAUCACUAAAGAAGAAAUUAGAGGCCUAUCUCAGAGGAGACAGGAGAGGAAUCCGGUGGUGGUGCACUGCCUGGUUUGGUUAUCUUACUUCUCAUUAAUUGUUCUUGUUGUUUACAUUUUUGUUGCUGAAUUGUGGGUUAUUUUUAGAACUGUUAAUCAGUCUUGAUUUUGCUGUGAAUGCUCUGUGAGAACUUAGAUCUACUUGUGAUUCUUCUGAUUGGUUGAAUGUAUUUCAAAGAACUAGAUCUACAUAUUAUUAAGCAGUAUUGUGAAAAUUCUCUGUGAUUGAACUCUGAUCAAGAGUAGAAUCAGCUGAAAUUUUACCGAAACACACUAAGAGUGUUGAUUUGAGAUUUGAUUUCAAUUGAUCUUAGAAUAGAUCAUAACAAUUUAAUGGGUGAUUUCAUGUCCUUUUGAUGUGCAUGUUCUUUAGCUUAGAGAGACUUUAUAUGUGGUUAUGCACCAUUAUCUCAUUGAAGUAAACUUAUAUGCCAAACAGACAAGAGUUGCCUAUGUGUGUUACUUCCGAGAAGUUGUAAAAAAUUGGCAUAAGAGCAACUUAGGUGUUUUAUUAGUUUCCCAAUAGUUAAAUAAAAAAUAAAAGUAGAUCAAGCAACAACACUUGUUCUGAAGUAUAUAUGCUCCCCUUGCCCAAAAAUAGUGGUUGUGAUGACCAAUGUUACGCCUUUCGUAUUUUUCCUGCUCUAUUAAUUAUGUGCACAUGGUUAUGUUUCUCAUGAAUCAACAUCCUUGAAU